rnacentral:lncRNA from 1 species
AGAAAUGACCUCUGCCAGCACAAAGAAGGAGGCUAGAAAUGGGUUGAGCAGUUGACCUACUGUGUGGCCUUGGGGAUAGCAGGUGCUGCUCUAGAAAGAAGUGUAAGCAAGUAACCAGUGGUGAAUGACCUUUGUUCUGCUCAGCACAGGUCUGCAUUGCAGUGGACCCUUCCCCAAGCACGUGACAGUUAGUGAGUGACCGCUGGCCUCUCCCCUCCAUCCCCUCUGUAUAAAAGGAGUCUGAAUUCGGACUGAGGCAAGACGGUUUUUUGAGACACUAGUCUGCCAGAUUCUCAGUCUGCUUGCGUUCCAAUUAACGUCACUAUUCCUUGUCCCAACAACCUGUCUCUGAAUUUAUGCGCUUGUCGUGUGGUGAGCAGAGCGACCUUGGGUUCGGUAUCGGAAGGAACAGUUUUAAAGUUAGGCUCCAGAAACCGUCUAGAGACUCAAGUCAGAGAAUCGACCAAUGAUGUGCUUAAGAAAGGUGGGAUGGAGAGAGUCUAUUGUUUUCUUUUCCCCGGGCUUGCGGGUCAGUCAAGGUGUCCUCUGCUGUCAUUGGCACCCGAAAAUGACUCGGAGGUCACCCCAAGAUCUUCCACCAGCCCCCUUGAAGGCCCAUUUAUAAAAUCACCACAAGCAGUGUGGGUGUUACGGUACAGAAGCCCCUCCAACAUCAGAAUUCUGGAGCUGAAGCUUAGGGCAAUUGAACAAUUGAAUUGCUGACAUUUGAAUCUCAAAGUAAUAAAAACACAGGGAAUGGCUGAAGCCACCGGAUUCCAAUGAGCUCUCCCGGAGGUGCCCUCAUGCCAGCUCUUCUAAAUCUCUGGUUGUUCAAAUGGUGUUUUUAGAUAUAUUUACUGCUCAGUAUCAUUUUAAUAAACUCCUUUUCGGAUUAAGGUCAGCAGCGUAGCUGCCGCUUGCACUUCAAGAACCCUGGCUGUUGCAGAUGGAACACCACCUGCCCGCAGAACAGGGAGGCGAAAGCGACUCUUUUUGAAAAAGAAAACAACGCAAAUUCUCUCUCCUCUAAAAGAUUUUUCAAAGCCCAACAUUCAACUACUUGGAUGUUAUUCGGGUCGCGUGUUUUCCCACUAAAACCAGCCCAUCGGCGUGAAAAACAAAGCACCUGCUGACGUGUCGCCCCAAUCGGCAGCUUCAACCCACCCAGGCCUGUAUCUGACCUCCUCGCCAACAGAUGUGAACCCCACCUUGUGCCAGGGUCUCCAUGUGCUGGGAAAUUGCCUGGCAAACAACCCAGGACCCUCCUCUGUGUCUAAAGUAAAAGAGCACAUUGAUUUUAUGAGGACUUGCAGCGCUGGAAUGAUUUGCCAGCUUCUGUCCUCUUCCCUUAGAGACUCAGCUCAACAAUGUCCUUUCCAUCACGAAAAACAAAACAGAAAAAGCAGUUACCCUUCGCAAUAAUAAACUUUACUCUUAAAUGAUUCUCGAGUCCUUUCGCCAAAGAGAUCUUCCAUCAGAUGCCAUUUUUACUACAAAAGAAAACCAAGGAGGCCUCUCUUCAGCAGAAAGGGAGAGAUACGGCCCACAUAGACAGCCAGUCUGUCGGAGGUAACAAUAUUUCAUUACCUUGUGUCAAACUAAUACACCGUUAUAAUGAUCUGAUCAUUAGGAGAACCGUUCAGUCAGGCUAAUAGCCCGCAAACUAUCAGCCUAUAAAACAAAGCUGAUCACUCGCUGCGCUGCAGGCCAGGCGUCAGACCCGGGAAGGGAAUCCUGCUUUUGCUCUCAAAAAUCAGCGCCUCGGUACCCGGUAAGGAAACUCUCGUGCAGUGUGACAUGCCCUUGGUGAGGAAUGGCCCAAUUGUCACUUCAGCGCUGUGCUAUUCUCCAGACAUCUGCGUGGAGAAUUAUCAUCCUAGAGCCACUCAAGCCCAUGUGCAAUUAAAACAGGGUUCCUUAGCAACCAAAACAGUGUUAUUAUGCAGCCAGAGGAAAAGGCCUCUGAUUAGCAGAAAAUCCAGAUUCCAAGUUCUGAACUAGAACUUCUCCCCAAACCCAGGCUCUGCUGUCCAAGGCCAGCAGCCACCACAGGGCUCUCCUCCCAAGUCACAGCGUGGCUGGGACCCCUGGGGGAGGGGGGUGCCAAGAGGAGGUGAAGCAGCAGUGCUGGGAGAGACUGACCGGGUGGCCGGGGUGCUGCAGACAGCCCAGGAGGCCCCGUCCCGGAAAGACUUGAGAACACUUAUCGUCGGGAGCAUCUGCAGGGCCCAGAUUGUCCCAGCACAGUCCCAGGCCUCCCUGUACGUUCCCUGUUCCCCGGUCCCCUCCCUCCUGCUUCCUGACACUGUUUCAGUGGGAGUAACAUGAUGUCCUUGGAGCUGUGCUCUUCCCACGGCUGGAAUCCCUCCCCCGGGGAGCCGGCAGCCACCCAGGGACGUUUGGCUGGCAUGAACUUGAGAAUGGCCGUCUGGGGGGAGGGACGGGGCAGACUGGGAUUCUGGGCGCGGCCAGAGGAUGCAAAGGAGACCUCAUUUCCCUGCCCCCAUCGGCCGCCCCAGACUCUGGUGGGAAGAAGAGGACAGACACACUGGCUCUAGGGUCCUCCCCUGAACCCCAGACAUCCCCACCUCAUGCUUUGGGAACAGCCUACGCUCAUUUUAUGAUUUCUCUCUAUGGCAGAGUCUUGCUUACACCACAGCUCUGUGUAUUGAAAAUGCCCAGAAUCUCUGCUUUGUGGGGCUGAGAACUCCUCUCUGUCUCCGCUUAUUCCUCUGUUGGACGAUGCCUGGCAGGAAAAAGAGGAAGUGGCAGAAUUCAAUUCACUUGGCACAGCACAGCGAAAGUGAUUUGCAAGGGACAGGCCAAGGUUCUUGUCUGCCCAGAGCCAGGCCUGGGGGACACUGUCUGUGGCUGAGGAUGGAGGUGGGGACUCGAGGGCCCACCUGGGAGCCAGGGAGUAGUGGUGGGGAGACCAUCAGCCAUGUGUGCGCAUGCUCACAAGCUGGGACACGGCAUCAAGCCUCCAAAAGAGAAAGAAGCAAACUCGGCUCCUCUUGUCCCUUCAGAGGAGCCCUGCAGACCCCGUUGCCGUCGGCCCAAUCUUCACUUUUCAGGUUUUAUGUCCCUCCAUUAGGAUGCUUUUGAAAAUCCCAAUUCCACCGGGAUUAACAAUAAGGGCACUUGUCAUUUCACGACUUUCAGGGUGAGCAGUGUCGGCAGCUGGGGCCGCAGGCUCUCAGGCUCACAUGGGGGGGCUGGGCUGAACUCAUCCUGGGUCCGCAGCACGGCGGCCACAGGCAUUCCAGGCAUCGUGCCAGAUGCAGGGUGUGGGCGGAACUGUAGCGAAGAUCACCAUCCACCAGCCCAGGAGAGAGAGCUCAGAAGAAACCAAGUCUACCAGCAACUUGAUCUUGGGCCCCAGAAUUGUGAGACAAUGCAUUUCCAUCGGUUAAGCCACAUGGUCUGGUACUUUGUUAGGAGACCGCCCACCAAACACACACGGGGCCACUUCCAGAAACAGGGAGGACACACUCUCUCUGCCGCAGGAUUCUGCAGGCUUUUCUUCAAGUCUCACUGGCCGGAAUCAAGUCUCAGACCCCUUCCUGGUCAACUGGGCACGAUGAAUGGAACUGGCGUGAUUGGAUUAAACGCCUCACCGGAGAUGGAAUGGAUCUGGGGAUGUAAACCCCCAUGGGUUUAGCCAUGCGCAGCCCCACAAAAAUAAUUCUCUCUGCUUCUUCAUCCUUGGCUGUUCAUACUCGGGAGACAGUGGAAUAAGAAGACCUCAAAUGUGGGAAAUGAAUCACGGUGGUAUGUGUGAUGGCUGAUUAUGUUUCCCUUGCAACUUCUUAAAAGUAUGCAGGUCGGUCUGAUGUUUUGUAGAAACCAACAAUCAUAUACCUGCUGAAAUCACAUCUUUAUUAAGAAGGAUACAGCGUCUGUAGAAAAAGACCAUUCAACGUUUGUCCUUUGAGGUCACGUGGCAAAACAUCCUUUGUCAUCCAUCAGGGCAGAGCACAGCGCCGCAUACAUAGUUGGUACCCGAGAGUGGAAGGUCGAUGCCUCGUUACUUUAAGAACUUGUGUUUUAUGAGAAGAAAGGAUUGAGUUAAAAUCUGAACAAUGUGUAGGAAAUAAAUAGAAGCAACUAACGCUAGCCAAGAGAAUGAAAAAUUAGAUUUUUAAUCCCUCAGCAAUGAAUACAUCCAGGCUUUGAUUGGUCCCUCUGCCCAGAAGUGAUUAUAUAGCUUCUUUGCAAAGAGGUUGGAUGCUUUGUAAAUUGGGGGAAAGCAUUGGAUAUACGGUCCUCCUCCCCCCUCAUACAACACUGCUGGAGUUAUCCGUUCCAGAGCCUUCCCCACCCACAGCACCUCAAGCAACCACAUUUAAAGGAACACAGCCCCUCUCCACGGCCAUAACACCUUGGAUCACUAGUCAAUGACCAAUCCACGGACAAGCCAAUGUCUCUGUAGUCUUGAGGUCUACCUCAAAAAACACGGGAGGUGCUCAUCCGAAAUCUGAACUGUGAAACCAAGUCAGAUCAGCAGCGACAUUAAUAUCUGAAAAGAUGCAGAGAGAAGACUCCCAGAACAGCCAGAGUUCCACAUGUUCCUUGAAAGGAUACAAGGAGCCAGGAGGUAGAGCUGGGGUCAUGACCAGGCAAGUUAUGAAGAGGCAGGAAUGGAAAGGUACAGAGCAGGUGGACAACAUGGGGGCUGCCUUCCAAGGUCAGCUCGGAACACCAUCCGCUUAUGAAAAUGCUGUACCUGCUGUUCAGAGUUUUUUUGGGGGGGAUCUUCAGGGCACCCCUUUAGGGUAGUGUGUCCUGUUGGGUAGCCCCAGAUACGUCAAGAUUUUUCCGGAU